CAAUAGCGUAUAUUAAAGUUGUUGCGGUUAAAAAGCUCGUAGUUGGAUUUCUGUCGAAAACGGCCGGUCCGCUCUAUGAGCGUGCAUCUGGUUCGGUUUUGGCAUCCUUAUGAAGAACGUAACUGCGCUUGAUUGCGUGGUGCGGUAUUCAUAACUUUUACUUUGAGGAAAUUAGAGUGUUCACGGCAGGCAAGCGCCUUGAAUAUAUUAGCAUGGAAUAAUAAUAUAGGACAUGGGUUCUAUUUUGUUGGUUUCUAGAACUUAUGUAAUGAUUAAUAGGGAUAAUUGGGGGCAUUCGUAUUAACGCGUCAGAGGUGGAAUUCUUGGAUUGCGUUACGACGAACUACUGCGAAAGCAUUUGCCAAGGAUGUUUUCAUUGAUCAAGAACGAAAGUAUGGGGAUCGAAGAUGAUCAGAUACCGU
rnacentral:rRNA from 1 species